AUGGCCUGGACCCCUCUCUCACUCCUCGUCCUCACUCUCUGCACAGGAGCUACCCCCAGCUCCGUGGCCUCCAGUGGCCUGACUCAGCCGCCCUGUGUGUCAGUGGCCCUGGGACAGACGGCUACCAUCACCUGCCCUGGAGAGGACUUGGAAGAUAUUAAUGGACGCUGGUACCAGCAGAAGCCAGGCCAAGCCCCUGUAUUGGUCGUUUAUGAGGCUAGUGUUUGGUCCUCAGAGAUCCCUACAAAAUUCUCUGGCUCCAAGUCAGGGAACACGGCCACCCUGACCAUCAGCGGGGCCCGGGCUGAGGGCGAGGCUGACUAUUACUGUCAGUCAUCAGACAGCGGUGCUGAUGCUCACGAUCAGCCCAAGUCCGCGCCCUUGGUCAUGCUCUUCCUGUCAUUCUAUGAGGAACUCGGCGCCAACAAGGCCACCCUGGUGUGCCUCGUCAGCUCCGUGGCCUCCAGGAACACGGUCACACUGACCAUCCGCAGGGCCCGGGCCGAGGACGAGGCUGACUAUUACUGUCAGGAGGCCUGUGCACAAAGCAGGGAGCAGCUCUGA